rnacentral:rRNA from 1 species
AUGCACCUUAUUCUCAAAUGCCCCUAUGCUAGAACUGUUUGGCAGCAGGUUGCGGAAUGGAGGGACUGUCCCGCUUUGGCCUCCAAUGCCCAAGAUAUUGAGACCAUCAUUGAGUGGUGGAAUGUGCGCACGCGCAGCCUGCCAAAGAAGCAUGUUUCGACUGCAAUUUUCAGCGCAUGGCAUCUCUGGAAAGAGCGUAACAGGCGAGUCUUUGAGCAAAAGUUCAUGAAUGAAGCUGCUCUCUUUUGCCUGAUUAAGCAGGAUAUUUUACAGCCGACGGUAUCCAUCCGCUGGAUUACUGAUGUCCAGAACGAGCCUGACUAG